GCCGGGCGUGGUGGCACGUGCCUGUAGUCCCAGCUACUCGGGAGGCUGAGGCAGGAGAAUCGCUUGAACCCGGGAGGUGGAGGUUGCACUGAGCCGAGAUCAGGCCAUUGCCCUCCAGCCUGGGCAACAGAGCGAUAUUCUGUCUCAA
rnacentral:SRP_RNA from 1 species